UGGGGAUCAAAUCCAGGGUCUUGUAUGUGCUAGGCAAACACUCUCACUGAGCUAUAGCCCUACCUUUUCUUGAAUUUUUAGGAUAAAUACCAUAUUAAAGUAAGUGCUUAAAGUAAAUUCUUACCACAGUAUCCUCCUGGAUUUAAAUAAAAUUUUGGUCUAUAAGAAAAAUCUCAGGAUAAGAAAGAUGUUAGGAUAUUGGGAAAAGAGAUGUUUUGCCUAAUAUGUCCUGAUGCUUGUUAAUUAAAAUACAGGUCUAUGUUGAGAAUUCAUGGAGGAUCUUAAAGAGAGUUUUAGUAGCCUAUUAUUUGAGACUAUCCCUAAAUUAACACUGAAAAAUUAUCAUUUUUUUAAAGAAUGCUUUUAUGGAAAGCUUCAGAAAUUUACAAAGGUGAGAAAAGAGUAAAAUAAACUCCCAAUUGGCCAGCUUCAAACUUAAAAUAUUGCCUUCUAGAUUCAUGUGUGGAAUACUUUAAGGCAAAUUCCAAGCACUGAAAAGGAAUUUACAGUGAAAAAAAAAAUGUAUGGUUCCCUCUGGGGGUGGAGCAGAAGCAGAGAACUGACUGGGAAGGAGCCUAAGGGAAUUUUCUGGGCCAAGGGAAAUGAUCAAUAUCUUAAUAGAGUAUGGGUUACAUGGGUGCAAGCAUUUGUAAAAACACAUGGAAUUGUUUAUACUCAAAUUUGUGCAUCUUGCUAGAUGUAAAUUUUACCUUUAAAAACAUUUGAAACUUUGAUCUCUAAUAGUUUUUUGCUUUUACAGUUAGCAAUUCUGGAACUCCCUUUUGUAUAUAUGAUACUUAAACAGACUAGGACAUAUACCUAGGAUAAUGAGAGCCAGGUUUCCCAUUGUUAGAGAAGAGAGUUAUCAUUCGAAUGUGGGAAGAAGAGGUCUCAAGUAUGUGUAUUUGUGAACCUAUUAAGUAUAUUUGCUAACACAGGACAAAUGAAUGUAGCUGAAGGUUUCUUGGAGUUUGUGCUUAUAGAAUAUAUCCUACCAAGCAUGUUGAGUCAAUAGUUCCACAGUCACUUGAAAUAUUUCUUCUCUAUAUGGCUCAUUUGUUUCAAUUUUUCAAAUACUUUAGAAAUGUUCAUUUUUAACUUAUGUAAACACAGUCCCAAUGUCAAGACCAUAAGACAGUACAUUUUCAGGAAGGUCUAGUUCAACAUCCCUAUUCCAUACAACUCCCUCUGUUUUCUUCCCUAACUACUUUUGAUUUUAUACUUCCCUUUUUUCUUUUUGCAAGUAGAAGCCAACACACAACUCCUUUUUUUAAAAAAGAGAGAAAGUUUGCCUACUAAUCACAUUGCCCUUCACUUAAAAAUAUAGAUUGAUAGUCUCCAGAUCCAUCCAUUCACUGACAAACUAAAAAGAACCAAUUAAAAUGUGUGUGUGUGUGUGCAUGUGUGUGUACAUGUAUGUAUUGAGCAUCUCUGAGUCAAAAAUCAAAAGCUUUUUGAGUGUUGAUAUAUGUUCAAAAGUUGUAUUUUGUAGCAUUUUGGAUUUCCAGAUUAGAGAUGCUCAGCCAUUAAAGUCUAGACAUUUAUUCCAAAAUCUGAAACAUUUCUGAUCCCAAGCAUAUUGGACAAGUAAUCUAGAACCUAUAUGUCCCUAGCAGUAUAUUUCUAAUCCCUUUUCAGAAGUAUAGAUUCCCCUCAAUUAUUUGGACGUAACAAAGUUUAUUUGACCACUUCUUCACCACUGGAUAUUGUAAAAAUAAAUGUUCAGUGGUUUUUCCCCCCCAGAUUUUUGCUAUUACACAUAAUACUAUAUUGAAUUAUCUUGCACAAAUGGAAUUUUAUAUUUCGGCCUGCACAUCUCUAGGAAGGAAUCCUACAUGUGAGAUUGCUAGGUAGGUAGUGCACUUGGAAAUACUUCUAGAUACUGUCAAAUUCCCUUCCACAGAUUUACCAUUUUUUUGUUACCACCAACAAUUUUAGGAUAUCUGUUUUAUCACAGUCUACCAAGAAAACAGGUUGUCAAAUUUUAGAUAUUGCUGCCAAGUUCCAGAAGAAAACUGGUAUCUCCUUUAUGCAAAGUUGAGUAUCUUCUUAGUAUGCUGGAGUUGUGGUCAUUUUUCUGUAAAUUUAUUCAUGUCUUUUGCCCAUUUUCCUUUUGGAUUGCUAUUUUUCUCAAUUUUUGGAAGGUCUUUGCAAAUUAGGAAUAUUUUAUUUAAAUUGAUAAUAUUUCCCAUAAUUUAUCUUUUUUUUUUUUGCUUUUGUUACUAUCAUACUUGCAGAAAUUUUUUAUUUAAUCAAAUUGAUUAAUUUUCCUUAUUCUAAACAUUGAAUCAUGGUCUGGAGUUUUUUUUCAUUUCCAGAUUACAAAAGAAUUUAUCCAUACUUUCUUUUCUGCUAGUACUUAUAUGGUUUCAUUUUAGAUUUCCAGAUUAGAGAUGCUCAGCCAUUAAAGUCUAGGUAUAUAUUACAGUCUGGUCUCUUACAAAGCCACUGGCAUUAAAU
rnacentral:lncRNA from 1 species